UUUAUUUUAAAUGUAAAAAAAACCUGGGUAAUAAUAGGUAAGUUCUUGAAACCCAAAGAAUUNGNCGGAUUUUAUUCUUUUUAGAGNAACCUGUCCUGUAAUUGAUAUUCCACGAUGGAUAACUACUUAUUCCUGGUAUUCAUUUUGUAUACCUCCGUCAUCAGAGUAUCUUUUUUAGAGUGAAUAUUCUAUAAAUACAAAAUAUAAUAUGUCAGGUCAAGGUGCAAUUUAUGAAUAAGAAGAGAUGGGUUACAAUAAAUUUAUUUAUACGGAUUAUCACUAAUAGAGGUGUUAUGAAGGAGGAUUUAAUAGUAAAAUUAUUCCCUAAAUAUUUUGAUUUUAGCUCUAAAAUAUGCACACAUCGCCCGUCGCUCUUAUUUCAAAAUAAGAUAAGUCGUAACAUAGUAGGAGUACCGGAAGGUGUUCCUAGU
rnacentral:rRNA from 1 species